GAGGACAUAGCUCAGUGGGAGAGCGUGUGCUUAGCAUGCGGGAGGUCCUGGGUUCAAUCCCCAGGACCUCC
rnacentral:tRNA from 1 species